rnacentral:rRNA from 1 species
ACGCUCGACACCUACGGGAGUCAGCAGUGAGGAAUAUUGGUCAAUGGGCGCAGGCCUGAACCAGCCAAGUAGCGUGAAGGAUGACUGCCCUAUGGGUUGUAAACUUCUUUUAUAUGGGAAUAAAGUUUUCCACGUGUGGAAUUUUGUAUGUACCAUAUGAAUAAGGAUCGGCUAACUCCGUGCUAGCAGCCGCGGUAAUCUGAGCGGGCUGGCAAGGC